GGGCCCUUCAAGUCCAGCUGCAUGUUCAAUUUGCAAUGCCGAUUUGUCUCGUGGGGGCAAGGGCCCUAAACAAUACAUAACAUCGCCGCUGUUA